UUUAUCGAUUAUAGAACAGGCUCCUCUAGAGGGAUGUAAAGCACCGCCAAGUCCUUUGAGUUUUAAGCUGUUGCUAGUAGUUCUCUGGCGGAUAGUUUUGUUUAGGGUAACUAUCUAAGUUUAGGGCUAAGC
rnacentral:rRNA from 1 species